GGGACAUCCUUUUCUCUCCCUGGGUCUGUGUCUCUGUCGCUACAUCCCAGCCUGCAGGGCAUGGCCCAGCGGUUGCAUAGGUCCCUCCGUUUCUGCAGAGCCCGGGAGUUACCCUAUUUUGGUAAAGGUAAAUUACUCCUCCAUGGGUCGUGAAAGAAGAUCAUGUCAGUGGUGGUGUUUCUGCCCAUCUCAGAAGGGAAGUGUGUGACCCGUGGGGGUUGCUGGGGAGGGCCUGAGCUGGGCCAGGCCUCUUCUUUGGGUUGCCCCCUCACACACUCUGGUCAUCCAGGAAGCCUCUGUGGCCCUUGGAAUGUGUAAAAGAUAGUGGUUUUAGGAGCUGCUCGUUUUGCAACUGAGUGCUGGCGGCUUAUUUCUUGUUAAUGAUUCUGUCAAAAGUGUCUUAGCGAUGCUCUUCAGCCCUUCAUCACCCACCCAAAAAAGAUUAAAGUGGAUUCUUCAUCAGCUAUUUUAAAAUCACCUAAGAAUUAUGCAAUCCUUUGGAGAAUCAAG
rnacentral:antisense_RNA from 1 species